AGAAAAAAUGUUGGUCCAAACCUUCAUUUCUUCCCUUUACAAGUGAAGAAGAAGUUUUGCAAUUUGAUAAUGUAAAAGAGUCAAUUUAUAACGAAGUUGUUUGUUAUUUACAAUAUAUUGGAGGAUUUUCAUUAAAAGAAGCAUUAAAUUUAUGCUUAAAAACGGUCGAAGACGAAGUUAUGUCUUCUUUUACUUUCUAUGGCAAUAAAGAAGAAGGAAUUUAUUCAUUUUUUUAAACAAAACUUUGCUCAGCCAUUCAAGAAGCACUCUCCGAGAAUAAACAUUUUCAGAUACAAAGUGGUACGGAGUUCCGUCACGAUAUGAUUGAAGCCAUUCGUAACGCUAAACAACGUAAAAGAAAUACAAUCAAUAAAAAGGAAAAUAGAGGGAAACGUUAUAUCAGAGAAGAAGAAAUGCAAAGAAUUUUUAUGCAGCGUCAACAAAAGCAUUUGCGAAAAGAGUAAUAAUAUAGAAAAGUCAAGAGAAAUGAUAUAGAAAAAAG
rnacentral:lncRNA from 13 species